AGUGGAGCGGUGGUGGAAGUGAAGUUCCCAGAGAUUACUUGUUUCUAUCUAGCAGUUAUAGGAUGAGGCUUGGCCAAUCCCCAUCCAGAUCUUCAUGAUUCCUAUUGUGCCUGAAGCUGUGACUUCAUCACCCUUAUCACCUAGGAGUCUUGCUCAGAUGCAGGUAUUCUCUGCAUAAUGCUGUCCAUAAGGAUAAAGAAAACAAUGACAUAAAGAUGGAUCAUCUGGUAAGACCAGGCUGUCCCCUGGAGUCACCAAGGAGAGAAGUUCUUGGAGGGCAGGAAGAUGAGAUGAGAGAAGAUCCCCCACU